AUCAUCAGACCAUUCUGAAGAGGAGGAGUUGGCACAGUUACUUCUCCUCUCUGAGCCUCGAUCUCCCUGCCGGCAAAAUGGGGAUCCUUGUCCCAGCUCCACUCACUCUAUAGGGUUCGUUUGAGGCUCAUGGAAUGAAAAGAUCUAAAGAAGUCUGGCCAGAGGGACACUGAGAUGAGCAAUGUGGUUGGAGGAGAGGAUACUGACCCAAGAAUUCUCUGGAUAAGAAGAAGGAGGAGGGGAAGCCUGAAGUGGAUGGGUCGAGCCUCAGCUGUGGAAGAAUUGCUAAUUACAGCCACCAUAAGGAAAUAUCAAUGAUGGACGUCAAUAUUAUUGCCUCCUGCAUCCCUGCCUGUUUAUUUGGAGAUGAAAAGCGCCCUAGGGUCAUCUCUCCAGGACGAAGAUGAGUGAUGACAGAAGGGAGGAGAGCUACACAUGGAGAAAAGGGCAUCCUCCAGCUGGAUUCAUUCAUGAAACCAGGACCCAUUUCCUCUGGGCAGAGUUCUCUCCACUGAGGGCCCAGGGCUGGGGCUGAGGGCAAAGGAACCUGCACAGGGAGGAGGAACUAGUGAUCCUGCUCCCAGCCCUGGUUCACCAAGUGACUGCAUGUAUGCCUCUUUGUGCCUCAGUUAACUCAUCUGAUAAAUGGGUAUGACAAUUCCA
rnacentral:lncRNA from 1 species